CAGAAAUUCUAGGAGGCUUUAGCUUAGGGCAACAAUUGGAGUGUGUCUGGGAGAUGGGAGGCAGAGGGUCUUCAAGUUGUGGUGCACUGCGCGGAGACUUUUUUUCCACUUAGAUUGCCUGUUCACUGUGGGGGAGGGAGUAGAUGCCAGAGCUUUCCCCAAACGGCCUUUAAAAGCUCCAAUCCUGCCCUGAAACGGACCUUGGCUAAGGUUAAGGUCGUCAAAAAACGGGGAUGGGGUGGUAUUCUUAAAGGAGAAAGGAGACCAAGGAGAGAGAGGUUUUACGCCUUGCAAUUUUCUGCUGCGGCAGUUUUUUUUUGUUUUUUUUUUUUUUUUUUCCCGAUGCUGCCCACAGCAUAGGGAAUCUGCCUGACCCAGGGAUCGAACCGGGUCUCCUGCCUUGCAGGCAGAUUCUUUACCAUCUGAGCCACCAGGGAAGCCCCACAGUCCGCAGAACUGCGGAAUGAAAACCGAGGUGGGGGUGCGGAUGGGGGCUGGAGAUCAUGGACUCUUAGAGAUCAGUAAGGAAGAGCGAAGCGUUCGGUUCGUUGGAAUCUGUGGACAGGGGUGCAUAUGGGUUUGGGGAUGCUGUGGCCUGGUCUUGGAACACGCGUGGGAUUGGGCGGGAAACGACCCGGCACAUGGUUACUCUUCUGUUAAAGGGGGUGCAUUGGGAGUCGGACCUCGGAUCGAGUCCUGAGUCUUCGACCACCUGGCUGGGUAUCAUUCAUUGAUCACACAUUGACUGAUGGCUCGCCCCACGCUAGGCGUUAUUCCAGAGGCUGGGCAUACAGCCGAGUCAACCUUGGGAGAUCACGGGACUCCUCGGAAUGUCAUUUCUUCAUCCGCACAGCUGCAGGGUUGGAUAACUACAAGGUCGCUGAGACCCCUUCCAGCUGUCAAAUAGGACACUGGAGCCAAUGUAUGUGCCCUCAGCUGACCGAUGAGCCCCCUACUCUCGGCGGUGGGCAGGGAGAAGGCCCUUAGUUCGGUCACUUCUAGGCAGGCAGGAUACUGCUCUUCCUGGUGGUAAGCCGGAAAAACAGAACAGUGCGAAGGUGCGGGAAUCGAACGCAUCGCCGCCACCGCAGGCUUGCUUUCCAAAGUCCCACGGCACACCUAGGUGAAAACUCUCUUCAGAGGCGCGUCCUUCCUUGUCUGACCAUUCUCGGUGUCAGAAUAGGCCUGUGCAGCCAGCCAGUCAGCCGGCAUUAGCCCCUUUUACAGCCUGGGGCCAGAGGCCCGGCCUGUCCUCACCAAAAGGCUCUCUUGCCCGCCUGGCGCUGGAAGGAGAACCGACUCCAGUCCGCGGAGCCAGGACCACUGCGGUGCCCGGUGCAGGCCCGCGCCGCCCGGCGCUGCAGAGCCCUGCGUCCCGCGCGCAUUGCGGCGCCCUCCCGAGCAGCACGGGCUUUCCUGUCCCAGUUUCCACCGAACCUUGGUGAGCGCCUGCUCUCGUCUCGCGAAUGUCUGUUUCUAGCCCAAGCUGGAAGUGGAGUUAAGAGGACGAGGGAGGGGGCCGCCCCGGUGAGCCGUGCCUUUGAGGGGUCAUCGCGCGCGCUGCCGGCGCUGGCGGAGCAAGCUGUUUCCAAGCUCCCCGGAACCCCGCGCGGAGGCAGCGGCGGCCCCACAUCCUCUCCGCGCGUUCGAUCUCCCGGACGCUCCAGGUGAUGAGUAGGGUUCGAACCCGCCUUUCCCGCACAGGCAUCCGGCGCCUUUGGAGCGCCCCGGCCAGUGAGAGGCGCGAACCUCGGCCGGCUCUCUUCCCGCCGGAGGUCUCCUAAUACCACCACCGCUGCGCCCUCUUCUAACCUCCCUCGCAAGAAGACGGUAAAUUCUGAAGCAAAACAGCUUCUAGAAGAAAACCACUCUAUCAUCUGCCUACCUGUUUAGCCACCCAGAACAUAUCCUAAAGGGGAAAUAAUCUACUCCUACUUGGAAACAGCCUCGGGAACAGCAUCCGUUUCUGAGAUUCCCCGGAAAAAUUCCCCCAGCGCGGGCUGCUCCACAUUUACGUCCGUAGACGCGUAGCGGUUGCUCUUCCACACCUAUUGGAUAAAGGGCAGCUGUAAAGAACCAAAAACAGUCGUCAGAAAAAUAAUGCCGAGGGGGGAAAGGGGGCCUGAAAAUCGAAUUGCAGAGGCAGCAGGCAGAGCGACCAGAUGCGCCUGCACACAGCCCCAGCAACCCGGAGUCUCUCCGGGCUUUUUCGAGACCGCAUCCAGUCCAAAUACGCAGCGUCCUGGGCUGGAAGAAAAAGACGCGUCUUACGAAAGAAGCUAGACUUCUGUAACGUGAAGGUGAAAUCGGCAAAGAAAAUCCUCCUACCUGAGAUUGUGACCCUACGCCCAGGCAGGACUGUAAAUCCACGCUAUGUGCCUGUGACUGAUUUGGGAUUUGGAUUUCUGAUUUGGCUGAGAGAUGUGCAAAAACCUCAAGUAGUCAACAGCUCCCUACUGGCUAUGCAUCUGAGGGGCUCAAGAACAUUGUUUAUUCCAGCAAGUGUCUGGAAUACAUUAUACUCGAUAAAUUGGCUCCUGCUACUCCCGUUUUGGAGAAUAUGAAGAAUUUGUAUACUGUGCUGAAAUAAAUGUAC
ensembl:lncRNA